rnacentral:rRNA from 1 species
CGACCGGCGCACGGGUGAGUAACGCGUAUGUAAUCUACCUGUAACAGAGGGAUAACCCGGAGAAAUCCGGACUAAUACCUCAUAGCACGUAUUAUUCGCAUGAAUUUUAUGUUAAAGAGACUCGGUUACAGAUGAACAUGCGUUCCAUUAGCUAGUUGGCGGGGUUACGGCCCACCAAGGCAACGAUGGAUAGGGGUUCUGAGAGGAAGGUCCCCCACACUGGUACUGAGACACGGACCAG